rnacentral:piRNA from 1 species
UAGGCACCGACGGCAUCUCCCUGUAUGGGA